GUUUUUCUUUGUUAUAAAGAUGGCAUUUUUCCCCCAUUUGCCUGCUGGGUGGGAUUUCAGUCUAGAGGUGAGAUUUCAGGUUCAACAACAAAUGCGGUUCAUAUUGUAUUGAAAGUUCCAUCAAGUCGGAGGUGAGAAACAACACUUUCAGUGGAUGCGAAAAGAAAGUUCUGUGCUGGUUGUACUUUCUGGUCAUGGGAAGAUACUGGUGAAACCCGGCAUUAGAGGACAUACUUGUAGGGGCCCUGGAAAUCAGCCGGUGGUGGUAGGCUGAAGAUUUUAUUUCUGAUGGUAGACAGAUAGAUUCAAUAGCCGGAAAUUGAGGUAUGAGUUUGAUACUUAUCAGUUAUACUUUGAUUGUUCUUGUGUCAUCCAUGCAUUGCAUAAAGGAAAACUACUCCACGUAAACUUCAAUAGAAUCAGUACUUAAUUCACUCAAGCAAACAGUGAAGAAUGCUUAUAUUAUUCUGCUUUUAGAAUAUCUCACAUAAUGAAAUGUGUUAAAAAUAAAUGCACUCUAAUUAACUGCAGAAUCUAACAGGCUGGUUGCAAUUGUUUUUUAGAGAACUUUGGCAUGGUAGUGAGUGAAUAGUAGAAUGCUAGCUGUGUAGUAGUUGAUGUUAGUUAAGCUGCAUUACUGCCUUCUAAGUUCUAACAAUG